GACAGAGCUGUGUGCCAUUCAUCCUUGCUGGUUCAGCUGCUCUUCUGCUUCUCCUCACUUUUCAGCCUCCCUGCCACCCGUUUUGUGACACCUCUCUGAUGCUCCUCUGCUAUGUCUCCUUUUAUAUAUGAUAGUUUUCCUCACUGUGAGCUAUAAAAUGUGAGCACAAGCUAUCAACCAAGAGGCCUCAUGGAUCCCAUCAAAACUUUGGUCUCUGUUUCCAGAAUAUUAGAAUGAAAUCAUUUAAAAUGUUUAUGAACAACAAUGUCAAACUCACCAAACGAGUCACUUGGUUAUGAUAUAAAAAUUUGUCCUUGACGGAGGAAGCAGCCAUAGAUGAACAGGGAAAUGGACAGGAGUUAUUUGAUCUGCAGCGUGUAAGGAUGGAUACGACACACAGAAAGAGCCUGAUGCUGUGUCUUCUCUCUCUGCCAUGAGCACCUGGAAAACAGCAGCGUGACACAAUCCAGGACAAGCCCCGACUCUACGAAGGACACCUUGAAGCCAGUCAUUCCAUCUAUCUCUCAUCUCAACUCAUCACUGUCCCCCAUCCCAGAGUGGGAUGUGAGAUGGAAACAGAUUACUAGCCUGGUCUCAGGUCAUGAAGCUAGCAAGCACUCAACCUGAAAG